rnacentral:rRNA from 1 species
CCUACGGGAGGCUGCAGUGGGGAAUAUUGGGCAAUGGGCGCAAGCCUGACCCAGCAACGCCGCGUGAAGGAAGACGGCCCUCGGGUUGUAAACUUCUUUUAUCAAGGACGACACACCUGACGGUACUUGAUGAAUACGCCACGGCUAACUACGUGCCAGCAGCCGCGGUAAUCCGUAGGUGGCAAGCGUUAUCCGGAUUUACUGGGUGUAAUGGGCGUGUAGGCGGGACUGCAAGUCAGAUGUGAAAACCAUGGGCUCAACCCAUGGCCUGCAUUUGAAACUGUAGUUCUUGAGUGUUGGAGAGGCAGGCAGAAUUCCGGGUGUAGCGGUGAAAUGCGUAGAUAUACGGAGGAACACCAGUGGCGAAGGCGGCAUGCUGGACAAUAACUGACGCUGAGGCGCGAAAGCGUGGGGAGCAAACAGGAUUAGAUACCCGGGUAGAC